GUGCUCGCUUCAGCAGCACAUAUCCUAAAAUUGGAACAACGCAGAGAAGAUUAGCAUGGCUCCCAUGCAAGGAUGACACGCAAAUCUGUGAAGCCGUCCAUAUUUUU
rnacentral:snRNA from 1 species